GGAUUAGGCAUGCAAGUCGAACGAAAAGUAGCAAUACUUUUAGUGGCAGACGGGUGAGUAACACGUAGGAAUCUACCCUUUGGUGAGGAAUAACGGUUCGAAAGGACCGCUAAUACCACAUAAGUCCGUAAGGAGAAAGACCGUAACUGGUCGCCGAUGGAGGAGCCUGCGUCCUAUCAGCUUGUUGGUGAGGUAAUGGCUCACCAGGGCUAUGACGGGUAGGGGGCGUGAGAGCGUGGCCCCCCACAAGGACACUGAGACACGGGUCCUACACCUACGGGUGGCAGCAACCGGGAAUAUUGCGCAAUGGAGGAAACUCUGACGCAGCGACGCCGCGUGCGGGAUGAAGGCCUUCGGGUUGUAAACCGCUGUGGAGAGGGAUGAAUUUUUGACAGUACCUCUCUAGAAAGCACCUGCUAACUACGUGCCAGAAUGCCUCGGUAAUACGUAGGGUGCAAGCGUUUAUCCGAUUUACUGGGCGUAAAGCGUCCCUAGCGUGUAUGGUAAGUKGUGGGUUAAAGACUCUGGCUCAACUAGAGGAAAGCUCCCAAACUGCCAAACUAGAGCUAGUUCGGGGAUACUGGAAUUCUCGGUGGAGGGGUGAAAUCC
rnacentral:rRNA from 1 species